rnacentral:rRNA from 1 species
UACGAAGGGGACUAGCGUUGUUCGGAUUUACUGGGCGUAAAGCGCGCGUAGGCGGAUCGCUAAGUCAGGGGUGAAAUCCCAGGGCUCAACCCUGGAACUGCCUUUGAUACUGACGAUCUGGAGAUCGGGAGAGGUUGGUGGAAUUCCGAGUGUAGAGGUGAAAUGCGUAGAUAUGUGGAGGAACACCGAUGGCGAAGGCAACCCCCUGGGUUAACACUGACGCUCAUGCACGAAAGCGUGGGGAGCAAACAGG